rnacentral:rRNA from 1 species
UUAUUCAGCCCGAAUACCCUGAAGGCACCAGAGCCCAUCUGAUCUUGGAAGCUAAGCAGGAUUUGCCUGAUUAGUAGAUGAAUGAAGACCAGGUGCUGGAGGCU